rnacentral:rRNA from 1 species
GAUGAACGCUGGCGGCGUGCCUAAUACAUGCAAGUCGAGCGAACAGACGAGGAGCUUGCUCCUCUGACGUUAGCGGCGGACGGGUGAGUAACACGUGGAUAACCUGCCUAUAAGACUGGGAUAACUUCGGGAAACCGGAGCUAAUACCGGAUAAUAUAUUGAACCGCAUGGUUCAAUAGCGAAAGACGGUUUUGCUGUCACUUAUAGAUGGAUCCGCGCCGCAUUAGCUAGUUGGUAAGGUAACGGCUUACCAAGGCAACGAUGCGUAGCCGACCUGAGAGGGUGAUCGGCCACACUGGAACUGAGACACGGUCCAGACUCCUACGGGAGGCAGCAGUAGGGAAUCUUCCGCAAUGGGCGAAAGCCUGACGGAGCAACGCCGCGUGAGUGAUGAAGGUCUUCGGAUCGUAAAACUCUGUUAUUAGGGAAGAACAAAUGUGUAAGUAACUAUGCACGUCUUGACGGUACCUAAUCAGAAAGCCACGGCUAACUACGUG